GCAUUUUAAAUAGUGUUUGUAAUUAUAAAAUAAGGGGGGGGGGGGGGGGGGGGGGGGGGGGGGGGGGGGGGGGGGGGGGGGGGUUGGCAGCAAUGGCAGCAACAUAUGUUCAAUGAUGGUGUUGGUUGUAUUGCAACACUGAUGGAGAACAUUGGGUGUGGUGGUAGUAGCAAUGGUGGUCGGGUUAUGGUGACAAUUGACAAAGAUUAGUGGAGCGAUGUCGCGGCAUCGACAUUGGCAACACUAACAGUGGGGAUGGGAGAUCGCAAACAGUAACAAAUUCAACUUAUCAGUUAACACAUUCAAUAUAACUUCCUUACUUAAAUCUAGUAUAAUUUUAAGAUAUAUUUAAUUUUAGAUAAGAUGAAGUGUUUAACAACUUAUUUUGUUUGAGGGAUGAACGUAAAAGUUGAGACGCUUCGGGGCCAAAGUGAUAAAUUCAUGUUUAAUUAUAAAAUUGGAUAACCUUUAUUUUUGUUUAAGGAAGCAAAUAGUAAGUGGAUCAUAUUUUAGAUGGUCAAGUGAAUUUACCCACAUAGUAAUGAUGUGCCCAGAUCCAUUAAUUAAAGCCACAUAAGGGAGAGUAUUUACUAUUUACCAAAAAAAUAGUAGACCAAGAAGUCUCAACUAACAGAUGCCGAAUUUUGGCAUGGCAGGAUGAUGGAUUUGACCUAAAUUAUAAAUUAAGUCUUGAGUUUAAUUCAUCAACUUAAACCUAAAGUUCCAAACCAUCAUAAUCCAACCAAAUCCGUUAGCCGCGUUUCUUCCCAGAAAAAAAAGUAAGGCGUACGUUAGAAAGGAAAGAGGGGGGAGAGGGGAAUAUGUCAAAUUUCUUAAAUUAUGUAUAAAACAUGCAAAACACAAUAUACAAAAAAAUAAAAAUCUAAAUUUUCAGAAAAAUAUGCAUUAACAACACAUAGACCAUAUAAAACACAUCAAAAAAGGAAAGAAAAACUUAAAUUUUCAAAGCAAAAACAAGAUGAAAAAGCUCUAGAUUCUCGCAUAAAAAACCAUAAAACACAUAAGAGGAAUAGAACCAACGAAUAAAAAUAAUUAUCGGAUUCCACAAGACUUGAUUCUUUGUUUAAAAAAAACCUAGAGUGGUUCCUCUUAAUUUCUCAUUUUAUUCUACUUUGUAGGCUUGCAGCGAGAUGCCUAAAUCACAAAGAUGGGAAUUAUAGGUGCAAGACGUCAUAUUUCUUUUUCCUUUUUUUUUUCUUCAUUUAGGUAAGAAACAGGUAGUUGCAUCAAGGUUCAUAAAAUGGAGGCUAACAAAGGAUUGGAUUUGUAAUGCGUUUGGAAAACUUCAUGAUUUAAGUUAAUAAAAUUAAAAAUUAAAAAUUAAAAAUUAAAAUUUUUAAUUUGUUGUUGAGGUAAAAAACGUUUGGGUUUUAAUGUAAUUUAACCAAAAUUUUUGUCAUUUUUUCGGCGCUCCUGUCCUUUCUAUCCUUUCUUCUCAAAAGAGUUGACUGCACUUCAAACGAAAAGCACCAAACGUGAGCAAUCGUGCUUCGACACACGGCAGGAGAAGAAGACGAAGAGACAGAGAGAGAGAGAGAGAAGAGAGGGAUGGAUAAGAGACAAGCAUAGGGGACAAAUCUUCGUCAACGGCAUAACAUGCACGUUGCGGAGACGGGCCGCCGGCCCCGCCGGGUGCUCUUCCUCCACGGUUCCCGGAGCUUCUGAUACUCUUGGCGCAACCAGAUGGUCUCCCCUCUCCUCCCGAGGCGACCGUGCCAUCGCCCCCGACCUCCGCGGCUACGGCGACACCGACGCGCCGCCCGCCGCCGCCAGUUAUCACGUCAUCAACAUCGUCGGCGACCUCGUAUCCCUCCUGGACGCCACUGGCUGGAUCCGGAUCUUCCUCGUGGCCACGAUUGGGGCGCCUUCAUUGACUGGUACUCUGCUUGCUCCGGCCCCCCCCCCCGACCGGAUUAGGCUUUGGUCAAACAUGAGCGUGUCUUACAUCGUAGAAACCCUUCGAGAAAACCCUUACAGUCCUUAGAGCUGCUUUUUUUUUUUUUUUUUUUUUUUUUGUCAUGAUUACUACAUCUGCAGAUUUCAGGUAAUUACUAUAUAAAUUCUUAGAUUUGGUAAAUCUUUUUUUUCCCUUUUAAUUUUGUCAGAAUCUUAUGUUGCUAGGCACAAACCUUUCAUCAAUCUAAGUAUCUUCAUUAAAAGAAGGCUGGAAUGUGUUGUUCUUCAAUAUUACCACUCUAUAUGAUGAAUGUUAUUGCGCCCCAAACGAACCAUUUGAAUUGAGUGUGUAAUUGUCUAUGAAUCACAUCCGUCCAAUAUCGCUGAAAAGGGUUGAAACCAUAGAACUAAAUCGCAGUGGCUUACGUCGCAGAGGUAGCGUACGGUACACGGUUAUCGCAGUCUGUGAAUUUUUUUUUCAGAAGACUAAAUUUGUAUAAAAUAUUUGUGACCUUAGCUUGACUUCAAAAUAAAAUCGGAAUAGUUAUUUUAGAUGAUUGUAGAUGAAUUUUAAUGUACCAUU
rnacentral:lncRNA from 1 species